rnacentral:tRNA from 25 species
GGGGCGUUAGCUCAGUUGGUUAGAGCAGAGGACUCAUAAUCCUUUGGUCCACAGUUCAAGUCUGUGACGCCCUACCA